GUUCUCUUUUUUUUGUUUUUUAAAUAAAGGGGAGGGGGGGGGGACACCGCUCUCUGUCGCCGAUCUUGAGAGUUUCAAUCCAGGUAUUCCCCCCCGCCUUUCCCGAGAGGAGCCGAGGGGCAGAGGUUUUAUUUUUUUUUUUUAUUGUUUUUCUCUGGAUUGAGAAUGCGACGUCUCUCCAUUCGCCUGAUUGAUUUUUUAUUUUUCGAGGGGACUUUUUGCAAUGGUUCCUGAUAGAUGAUUUUUUUCCGGCGCACAUUGAGAAAGUCUCUUUUUAAAUUGGCUUUUAUUUAUUUAUUUAUUUUUUUGCCUGAUUAAAGGUCCUGGACGGGUGACGGCCAAUCAGCGCGCAGCUUCCAUUUUGUGGGUGCCUCUCCAGCGCGACCAGGCUCUUUUCAUUUUUUUUUUUCCCUUCUUCUUCUCCCCCCUCCCCCCGUUGCCUUUUUCCCUCUCCUGGCUGAAGAGAGGCUGCCGUCUCGCUGGGUCUUCAUGGUGGUUUAUUUCAUAUUGGGGCUUUCGGGUUUGUAAUUUGGCCGUGGUUAGGUAAUUGGUUGGUUCAAGGCACCGGGGCCCCGCAACCAAUCACCGCGCCGCUUCCAUUGGGCUUGAGUUAUUAGACGCUGAUCAGAAAACAUCCUUCAUCAGACAGCCAAGGAGAGGCCAACAGAUCAGGGGAGCCAUUUUUCUGCAAUGGAAUUAAAUGGCCAACUGGGUUUUCCUUUGUUCCAAAAGAGGAAUGUUUUUCCUUUUGACUCCACCAUCCAGUGCAGGACCGCUCAGUGUGUUAUUUAAUGUCUGCCAACACGCUAAAGGACUGAUGGAAGAAGGAAGACUUUAAAAAAGAUUUGGAUUUUUCCUUAUGACUUGGAAUCCAUCUUUGUCUUGUGUAACUAGGUCAUAGCACACCCUAAAUGUCAGCAGUUACCAGUUUUGAAUUCAAAGAAUUGAACUAAAUGACAUAUUUAUUUUUACCUUUUUUAUUGCUUUGGGGGUUUAGAGGUAAUCUGUAUUCUCUUCUGACUGAACAAUAAAUUUUUUAAAUAUAUAUAAUUUCCUCUUAUUAAACACUUAAAACCUGGCCAUCUUAUUAACUCCUUUUGUUCUCUUUUAAUAAGGUAAUGUUUUAACCGUAGUGCUUUAGGAAUAGUGAAUCUGGGCAACAACAAAAAUAUCUGUAAGCAAUUUUACUGUUACUUUUUUUUUAAUCUUUUACAUUGUAAGUACCCAAUCCAUUCUGUCCUUAUUAAGUACAGUUUUCAUGUUAAUGUUACUAAGAUGUCCUUAUAUCUGAACCUUCUGCAUGUCUGUUUCUGUCUUUCUCUUGUCUGAUUUAACUAAACCAAUGAAUGCUAAUAGACGAUUUUGCUUUAUGAAGCUAAAUAGCGUAAGUUUUUUUAAUGUUAGAUGCAGUUAAGUGCUACUAAGCGGCAUUCACAUUAAUAUGUGCGUUUUCUUAAAAAUCAAGGGACACAGUUCUGGCUUCUGUACUUUGUGAGAGAGCCCUUCUUUUUCGUAGAGAUUAAAACUGUCACAGGAAACUAGAUUAAAACCUCGAAAACAAGCCCUAACAAGCUGCCAAACAACAUUAGAACUGGGCAACAGUUUAUGGAGUGGUUUUUUGGUUUUUUUUUUUACUCCCUUUCCUUCUUGUUUUUGUUCAUUUUCAGCUUUUGUUAUUUUUUUUAAAUGAUGAAACAAUUGCCACACAGAGCUCUAAACAGUUCUUUGCCAAGCUACGUUUUACGAAUCGAGCGAAAAUUUGCAGAUUUACGAACCAGGAGUUGAAGGAAGAUGACAUGACAGUAUAACUUACAAAGGUACAAAAAAAAAUCCAUCAAAAAAACCCAACAAACCAAAAAACGCCAAAAAAAAAAUCAAACCACCGCCCAACUUCACUUCAGACUCCAUUCUACCAUGCUGAGUGCGGUCUCACGUCGUGGAGCAGCAGCAAGAGGAGGCGGCUUCGCUGCAGAGUCCUUGUGCUUGGCCUGUCCCUACCACGUUCAGGGGACUCCGGAGGCGGGAGCGGUGCAGAUGCAACUGGAGCCCCUGGGGACAAUGGAGAAGCCUCCGCUGCUCCCCACUUCCCAGUCUGGGUAAGAGCCCCAACCGUGGGGAGGGAGAUGGGCAGGAAGCAAGCCUUUAUUGACCCCUGCCCUAGCCCUGAUUUUAUUAGCCGUGGUUCGGUAAGACGCCCGGGGUUGGGGCCCGAAGGGCUGGCUCACUCCUGGCCAAAUUACUGCCAGGGCGUUGCCCCCCUUCUCCCGGCCAAAGUUGAGCCGGGCCUGGGGCUGGCAGUUGCCGGGGGGACCCGGGCUCAGAAAACCCUAAGGAAGUUGGCCUGGGGAGAGAAGGCUGGUGAACUUCUCCUCUGCUCUUUAGCACAGAGUCUCCUACACAUACACCCUGGAAAACAAUGACUACAUUGACUAUUGUGUGAGAGAGCUGAUGUGCAAGGAAGCGGUCACUUGACUUCAUGUCUCAAGCUCUUUUUGUUGGAGUGUUUUUGAGGCUUUCCGGCAGUUAGGAGUCGGGUUUCACCCGCUGCUGAACUCAGUUUGCAGAACACCCUAUGUUCCCCUGCGGAGCUCAGAAGAAGCAUCCUGCAACGGUUCAGGUCAGGGCUCCCCCCCGGACUAGACCAGGAAGGGGGAAGGGAAGUGGGAAAGUUGGGAGGGCUCCUUUUUUGUCACUUAAGUGAUUUUAAUCUCCCUCUCAGUAUGGUCUGUAAAAGUAACUUUUUUCCCCGUGAAAGCGGUUGGGUGGCAGAAGGGUGGGGUGUUGCAGUGCAGUGAAACCAUAGGUCAGGAGUGCUUUAGAGAUAUCAAAGUGUUAGAAUUGAUUGGAUUCAACUGAAAUUGACCUUCAUCUGGCUUCCAAGAAGUCUGUUUAAAUAUAAAAUUUCAAGAUGGCCUGACACUUGCUUAACCUCAUUAAACUACAGUUUUGUAAAGUGAGUAGGUUUGGGGGAGUGAAAAUUUCUUGAUGGUGAUAUCAAGUUAAUAAAAAGAGACGAAAUGAGUGGAAAUUGUGUCACUGUGUAUUUGCUUGGAUUCAUGGAUCUAAAGGAAAACAAACCACCGAUCUGGAAAUAAACCCCCAAAUUACUACUUCUGUCCUGAAGGCCAGCAGCUAUAAGGCACCAGCAGAGUAGGGAAUCAAGUUUAUCACAUGAAUAAAAUCUCCCCUGUCUCAUGACUUCUCUCCCUUCCUUUUUCACAUUGGGUCUUUUUAACAUUCAGCUGGGUUUGAGUUUCCUUUUGUUUAUCGUUUACUGUAACUGGACAGCCUGUGUCUUAUUUCCCAUUCCAAGCUCUCCCAAAGCUCAGCUUUCCCACGUAGUGGAAGAAUUUCUCCUCAACUUGGAACAGCGGAUGUAUGUGGGGAUCCGGUGCAUCGGGGAUUGAGGCGGGAGGCCUGAGGGACGGACGCUGUGUGAGCAGAAGGGCUGACUGGCGGAGACUGUGGUAGCUGGCGUGUCCGAGUCUCUUGGGCCUGGUCGACUCAAGCUGAGGAGAUCUCCCUCUAAUCAUUCCUGUUUCUCUCACCUGCCAAGCAGCGUAGGACAAGGCUGAAGCUCUUUAACAUCGGAGACUGUCUUCUGCUUCUGUAACCCCCACAGCACCGGAGUGUUCAGAACACAGUGGAGGCUCAAAAUAGUAAACUGAGGCAAUAUGGUACCUCUUCGCCCAACUUAACAUACCUUUUCUUCCUGUCCAGUGACUUAGCUAGGGACAGGAUCUCAAGUGGACUUUAAAUAAAGCCCAGUGACCCCAAAAAGAGGAGGAGCUUGGGGAGAGAAUUUGAGGAAAAACUCAUGAGCAAAGAGUACAUGGAAUACAUGCAGAGCUCGCUGUGCUUUGGUCAGUUUGGUGAGCAGAGAUGCUGAAAAAUGAAAAGGAAAAUCCUGCAGCAGCAAACAGGUUCCAGCCACCACUGGGGCUGCUGCCCCCCACAGCCUCAUCGCUACAAUCCAGCUUUACCACCCCUCAUCUUGCUGAUUUUCUACUACAACCCAGCCCUCACGCUUUUCUCCUCCCAACACCCUUGAUCUCGCCGCCAACUCCAUGUCCACAUUUUUCCUCUGGGCAAGGACUCCCUCCCCCUUGAUAUAACGCUACAGUCCACCACCCUCCCUCCCUACAAAGCCUUAUUAAAAUCACAU